UUGAUGCAACGCGAAGAACCCUACCUACUCUUGACAUCCAGAGAACUUAGCAGAGAUGCUUUGGUGCCUUCGGGAACUCUGAGACAGGUGCUGCAUGGCCGUCGUCAGCUCGUGUUGUGAAAUGUUGGGUUAAGUCCCGCAACGAGCGCAACCCUUAUCCUUUGUUGCCAGCGGUUAGGCCGGGAACUCAAAGGAGACUGCCAGUGAUAAACUGGAGGAAGGUGGGGAUGACGUCAAGUCAUCAUGGCCCUUACGAGUAGGGCUACACACGUGCUACAAUGGCGCAUACAAAGAGAAGCGACCUCGCGAGAGCAAGCGGACCUCAUAAAGUGCGUCGUAGUCCGGAUUGGAGUCUGCAACUCGACUCCAUGAAGUCGGAAUCGCUAGUAAUCGUAGAUCAGAAUGCUACGGUGAAUACGUUCCCGGGCCUUGUACACACCGCCCGUCACACCAUGGGAGUGGGUUGCAAAAGAAGUAGGUAGCUUAACCUUCGGGAGGGCGCUUACCACUUUGUGAUUCAUGACUGGGGUGAAGUCGUAACAAGGUAACCAAGGGCGAAUUCCAG
rnacentral:rRNA from 1 species